UACGAAGGGGGCGAGCGUUGUUCGGAAUCACUGGGCGUAAAGGGCGCGUAGGCGGCUCAUCUGGUCGGGCGUGAAAGCCCCGGGCUCAACCUGGGAGGUGCGCUCGAGACGGGUGGGCUGGAGUUCGGGAGAGGAGAGUGGAAUUCCCAGUGUAGAGGUGAAAUUCGUAGAUAUUGGGAAGAACACCGGUGGCGAAGGCGGCUCUCUGGACCGAUACUGACGCUGAGGCGCGAAGGCGUGGGGAGCAAACAGG
rnacentral:rRNA from 1 species